GAUGAACGCUGGCGGCGUGCCUAAUACAUGCAAGUCGAGCGAACGGACGAGAAGCUUGCUUCUCUGAUGUUAGCGGCGGACGGGUGAGUAACACGUGGAUAACCUACCUAUAAGACUGGGAUAACUUCGGGAAACCGGAGCUAAUACCGGAUAAUAUUUUGAACCGCAUGGUUCAAAAGUGAAAGACGGUCUUGCUGUCACUUAUAGAUGGAUCCGCGCUGCAUUAGCUAGUUGGUAAGGUAACGGCUUACCAAGGCAACGAUGCAUAGCCGACCUGAGAGGGUGGUCGGCCACACUGGAACUGAGACACGGCCCAGACUCCUACGGGGGGCAGCAGUAGGGAAUCUUCCGCAAUGGGGGAAAGCCUGACGGAGCAACGCCGCGUGAGUGAUGAAGGUCUUCGGAUCGUAAAACUCUGUUAUUAGGGAAGAACAUAUGUGUAAGUAACUGUGCACAUCUUGACGGUACCUAAUCAGAAAGCCACGGCUAACUACGUG
rnacentral:rRNA from 1 species